AUGAUGGCUUCUCUGACACAGUGCGAGUACACCAUGGAGAAAUCACUGCUGGUCUACAACAUGAACACCAAAGAACAGGAGAACUACAACAGACUCAGUCAAGAUAUCGAAUCCAAAAUCCAGGAAGCCACUGAGAAGAUUUCAGAGUGUAAAAACGAAUUAUCUCAGGCCAAACGAAUCCGCAAAAAUCGCCAAGAGUAUGAUGCGUUGGCACGAGUAAUUCAGCAGCAUCCAGAUAGACAAGAAACAACAAAGCAGUUACAGGGAUUAGACAAAGAUGUAUCCAGUCUGGAGGAACAGAAGAAAUCCCUGGAACAGAAGCUUGAUCUAAGGAGAAAACAGUUCCAUGUUCUGAUUGCAGCCAUCCACGAACUGGAGAGCAUUCUAGAUGAGGAUGAGACCAAAGAGGGUGAAGGGACUGAGAAAAUGGACACAAACUGAAAUGACUUGAGAUGUUGACAGUUGUUUUUUAUUCAUGGCAGCAUUUCUAAAUCCUGUGUACUAGGCCAAGUGCUUGUGUUCUUACUUGAUACUGUGAGAGGAGAUAAAUGACAGAACAGCACAGUAAUUAUAUCAAAGACAUGGGACAUGGAGCGUCAUUGUAACAGUUCUAGUUUUUGAGACCCAUAUUUCAUUAUAGUAGAAAUUAUCAAUGCAUUUUUUAUAUUGACUUUUAUGAUUUUUUUCUUUAAGAAUAUUUUUUUAAUGUCAUAUUAAAAUGAUUGUUGAAGGUAUUAAACUUCAAACUACUGU
rnacentral:misc_RNA from 1 species